rnacentral:misc_RNA from 1 species
GAUGAGAACGUAGUGAAAUGCGAUAAGUAGUGUGAAUUGCAGAAUUCAGUGAAUCAUCGAAUCUUUGAACGCACAUUGCGCCCUUUGGUAUUCCUUAGGGCAUGCCUGUUCGAGCGUCAUUUAAACCUUCAAGCUAAGCUUGGUGUUGGGUGACUGUCCGCUUCACGGCGGACUCGCCUCAAAAUUAUUGGCGGCCGGUACAUUGGCUUCGAGCGCAGCAGAAACGCGAACUCGGGCCCGUCGUAUUGGCUCCCAGAAGCUAUCUUCACAAUUUUGACCUCGGAUCAGGUAGGGAUACCCGCUGAACUUAAGCAUAUCAAUAAGCGGAGGA